rnacentral:rRNA from 1 species
UAGGGAACAUUAGAAAUGGACGAAAGUCUGAUCUAGCAACACCGCGUGUGCGAAGAAGGCCUUCGGGUCGUAAAGCACUUUUUGGAAGGAAUAGGGAGGAAUGUACUUCCAGAAUAAGUCUCGGCUAACUACGUGCCAGCAGCCGCGGUAACACGUAGGAGGCGAACGUUAUCCGGAUUUACUGGGCGUAAAGCGCGUGUAGGUGGUACUGUAAGUAGGGCGUGAAAGCUCCUGGCUCAACUGGGAGAGGCCGUUCUAAACUACAGAACUAGAGGAUGGUAGAGGGAGGUGGAAUUCCAGGUGUAGCGGUGGAAUGCGCAGAUAUCUGGAGGAACACCGGUGGCGAAGGCGGCCUCCUGGACCAUUCCUGACACUCAGACGCGAAAGCUAGGGUAGCAAACGG